rfam:Gossypium hirsutum cultivar TM-1 chromosome 17, whole genome shotgun sequence
CACGUCGCGCGCUUUGCUGACAUGGACACAAAUCGUGCUUCUGAGGACGUGAUUUGUUGCCAUAUCUGCAAAGCGCGCUGAUGUGG